AGUACCGGUAUUGGCCGCACGGGAACCUACAUCGCCCUGGACAUUCUGAUACACGAGGGCGAGGCGAAUGAAGCCGUGGAGAUACAUGGAUGUGUGCUGGACAUGAGGAGGAACAGGGUUAACAUGAUCCAGACAGUUGGUACAACGCACAUGGCACUCAAAUAGAUGUCAAAGUGGUUAGUGUGAUUAAAUAUUGCAGGAGCAAUACGAGUUUCUACACAGAGCCCUUGUUCACGCCUUAACCUUUGACUGCGCGCCCGUGGCCGCUAACCAGUUAGAGAACUAUGUCUCAAAGACAGGACAACAGCAACGAGAAACGCAGUUCAAUCUACUGAUGUCCAUUUCUCA